AUUGAACGCUGGCGGCAUGCCUUACACAUGCAAGUCGAACGGUAACAGGUCUUCGGAUGCUGACGAGUGACGAACGGGUGAGUAAUGCAUCGGAACGUGCCCAGUAGUGGGGGAUAGCCCGGCGAAAGCCGGAUUAAUACCGCAUACGACCUGAGGGUGAAAGGGGGGGAUCGCAAGACCUCUCGCUAUUGGAGCGGCCGAUGUCAGAUUAGCUAGUUGGUGGGGUAAAGGCCUACCAAGGAAACGAUCUGUAGUUGGUCUGAGAGGACGACCAGCCACAAUGGGACUGAGACACGGCCCAGACUCCUACGGGAGGCAGCAGUGGGGAAUUUUGGACAAUGGGCGCAAGCCUGAUCCAGCAAUGCCGCGUGCAGGAAGAAGGCCUUCGGGUUGUAAACUGCUUUUGUCAGGGAAGAAAUCUUCUGGGUUAAUACCUCGGGAGGAUGACGGUACCUGAAGAAUAAGCACCGGCUAACUACGUGCCAGCAGCCGCAGUAACAC
rnacentral:rRNA from 1 species